CAUUGGCGAACUAUGGCUUGUGGGCCAGAUUAAGCCUAUGACUAGUUUUUCUACAGCCUGUCACCUAAGAAUGGUUUUUACUUUUUUAAAUGGUUGAAAAAUAGUCAAAAGUAGAAUGUUUUGGGAAGCAUGAAAAUGAUUUGAAGUUCAAAUUUCAGUGUUCAUAAAUAACAUUUUAUUACAGUCACCCUCAUUUGUUUACAUAUUGUCUGUGGCAGCUUUUGUGUUAUGUUAGCAGAGUUGAGUAGUUUCAGCAAAGACCAAAUGGUCUGCAGAGACUGAAAUAUGUAUUGUAUGGCCCUUUACAGAAAAAGUUUGCUGACCUCUACUUUAUGACAUUCUCAAAAGAAUGGCUUAAAUUCAGCUUUAUGUAAUUGAUGUAUUUCUAAAAAGGCAAUAAUUAAAAUAUGUGAUGAAAUCAUA
rnacentral:lncRNA from 10 species